CUUCCGUUUCAGCGGACAAUUUCCAUGUUAUUUAUUUUCCGAAAAGAAAAGGGGGGAGCAUUUCUAUUCAUACUACGAUUUGUCGUGUUUAGGGAGGCCCUGACGACAGCGUAUUGCGCUAAUGAUUUUUGCCAGGUGGCAACAUCAGAUAAACCAAAGCUCAUCGUAAGAGCACAUCAGCAUCAGCUGUCCUGUGGGCUCUCAGGCAACGCAAGAGCUUCUACGCUCUUCGAUGCAAACGCCGCCAUCUUCUUCUUCUUGGUUACUUCCUGCAAGAAAACCAGGCCAAACACGCAUUCCUUCUUUGUAUUCCAUCUCAAAAUACCUAUUUUGUUUUUCAUGAGGAUGCGUGAUUUUUCUCGCUUUCAGACAUAGAAGCAAACAAAAAUCCAGAAUUGGUGUCACCGCGUUGAGAAGCCGACAGUAGAGUUUCGCUUUCCUUUCUCUCUGUGUCACCAGUCUCUUUUUUGUUGACUGCCUUUUGUGGGGUUAGAUGACCGAGGCUGUGCACCGCUUUUCCAAAAUUGUGAUCUUUGGUUUCUUUGUAAUUUCAUACUUGGGUUGUGGACAGAUGCUGAUUCGAUAAAGUACCAUGAAAAACCCGUGUUGUAAAAUUCUUUAAGAAUCCAUGUUCUACACUUCUGGGUCUAUGGUCUAUUGCUAUAUUUGACUGCUGAUUUGCAGAUCUAGGCUCUUAAGACUUGCUCCAGGAAUAAAGCAUAUGUAUAAAUUGAAAUUCGGCUUUUUCAAAGUCCAAAGAAAUUGAUCGGUUUCGAGUUUAUCGUAUUGAAUAUUCUGUGUGGAGCUUAGGGUAUAUUUCCAGAAAGCUUUUUGUGCUUUGGUAUUGUUGCUGCCCAUACUUUAUAGCGAUUUCUUAUUGAAGGCAGUAUUUGGCAGGACAGAAUGAUUGAGAAGACUGAACCAUCGACUCUCAAUGUGUACUCCAAUGGGUCAAUUCAGAAUCAGACCUCAAAUGGUGCUUUAGAAGAGAAGCUGGAUGAGCUUCGACAUCUCAUAGGCAAAGCAGAAGGUGAUCCCUUGAGGAUUGUUGGAAUUGGUGCAGGUGCCUGGGGGAGUGUAUUUACUGCCUUAUUGCAAGAUAGUUAUGGCCAUCUAAGGGAUAAGGUUCUAAUUAGGAUAUGGAGAAGGCCUGGCAGAUCAGUUGAUAGGGCCACAUCUGAGCACCUGUUUGAAGUGAUCAAUUCCAGGGAAGAUGUAUUAAGGAGAUUGAUUAGGCGCUGUGCAUACUUGAAGUAUGUUGAGGCAAGAUUAGGUGAUAGGACUUUACAUGCUGAUGAGAUUUUGAAAGAUGGCUUUUGCUUGAAUAUGAUAGAUACCCCUCUUUGCCCUUUGAAGGUUGUGACCAAUUUGCAGGAGGCUGUGUGGGAUGCUGAUAUUGUCAUUAAUGGGUUGCCAUCAACUGAAACGCGCGAGGUGUUUGAGGAAAUUAGUAGGUAUUGGAAGGAGAGGAUCACGGUACCAGUUAUUAUCUCUUUGGCAAAGGGCGUAGAGGCUGAGUUGGAGCCGGAGCCUCGCAUAAUAACCCCCACUCAAAUGAUCAACAGAGCAACUGGAGUUCCAAUGGAGAACAUCCUUUACCUUGGAGGACCUAACAUUGCAUCAGAGAUUUACAAUAAGGAAUAUGCUAAUGCUCGAAUAUGUGGAGCAGAAAAAUGGAGGAAACCUUUGGCAAAGUUUUUAAGGCAGCCUCAUUUUAUAGUAUGGGAUAAUGGUGACCUUGUUACUCAUGAAGUCAUGGGUGGUCUAAAAAAUGUCUAUGCCAUCGGAGCUGGAAUGAUGGCAGCUCUUACAAAUGAGAGUGCAACCAGUAAAUCAGUGUACUUUGCACACUGUACAUCAGAGAUGAUAUUUAUCACACAUUUGUUGGCAGAAGAACCUGAGAAACUUGCCGGUCCCCUGUUGGCUGACACUUACGUAACCUUGUUGAAAGGGCGUAAUGCAUGGUAUGGUCAGCAGCUAGCCAAAGGAGAGUUGAACCUUGAAAUGGGCGAUAGCAUUAAGGGCAAGGGGAUGAUUCAGGGUGUCUCUGCAGUGAAAGCAUUUUAUGAACUGCUAAGUGAAUCCUGCUUAAGUGUCCUGCAUCCUGAAGAAAACAAGCCUGUAGCUCCAGUUGCACUUUGCCCCAUAUUAAAGAUGCUAUAUAGAAUACUCAUCGCAAGGGAGUUUUCAGUACAGGCCAUUCUUCAAGUAUUAAGGGAUGAAACUAUGAAUGACCCAAGAGAUCGCAUUGAGAUAGCACAAAGCCAUGUAUUCUAUAGGCCGGCACUCCUAGGACAGAAACCUUGAUGAUGCAUCGCCUAUCCUUUACAUCUUGUUUUGUCACUCGUCAAUGGUUGCAUGUAACCAUCUAAAAUAGUUCCACAGUUUUGGGUUUGGAAGCUAAACUAUUACGAUAAACAAAGAACAGGGCUUCUCAGACUCGUUCUUUGCUCUAUGUUUCAAAACUUGUGGAAUUGAAAGAAAAUCUCUUCUUGUUGAUUUAAAAGAAAAACUAAUGGAAUAUGAUGACAUUUAUUUUAGCUGAGGGAGAUCAUUAUCAUGUCAAUGCAAUAUUCAACGUGGAAGCUGCUUCGUUUUGAGACUAAAACUAGGUGAUUCAUUUGUGCUCCCCAUCCCCAUGAAUGAAAGAGACUCGGAAUGCCGAAGAACUGAGCCUAAAGCGAAUGCCAUGUGCUAGCAUAGCAGUAAUACAAACUUCAAUUUGCAUUUAGAGUGGCUUAGCAAAACUGAUACCAAAAUGAACCAAGUCCGAACAUUUUCAGCGGUAUAUAGGCCUGAAUGACAUUAUAUGCUAGUCCCAACAUUUUCAAGGGCAUAUAGGCCUGAAGUAAAUUAUGAAAGAGUAAUCACAGAUUCACUACUUAAAUCAUAUUGGGGGGCUGGAGUUUGUAUGUCUGGCUCAAUGCGUGUUUUUUGCACCACUAUUGGCAGGGGCCUAAGAUUUUAUGCUCACCGUGGAUUGAGUUCAUGAAGCAGUAUCUGCGCAUUAGUUUGGUACUAGGAGUUUGGGCUUCUGUUUAUAGGAGGAGGCAUGAGCAAUAGAUGUCUCGUUUUGGACACAUAUACAAGGACGUUAAAGAGAAGGAUAUGGAUUACAAAAUAGUCAAGGACUCGGGGUAAAUGUAGAUCUUAUAGCAUAGAUUCUUUUAACUUUGAGGCAGGCAGAUCUACAGACUUGGUCUCAAUCAGUUUGCGGAUCUUACGAAUGAAAAUUUCAGAUACUUGAGAUGACUGAAUAAUUUCUAACUCUCAAUCAAAAUGUAGGCUCCUGUUGGGCAUUUUCAGCGGUUGGAGUAGUGAGAUUAGGGCUGUCAGGGUAUAUGAUGGACAGUGCCUUAAAAUUUAUUGAAAAGCAUGGCUCAUCCGGUAUGCAGCCGAACCGUCAACCAAGAAAACCUGGUACGAAGAUGCCCCAGCCAGACAUGUAGUCUCAUCCAAUAUAAAACCACCUGACAGUUUUGUGUUAACAAAGGUACAAGCUUUUGCUAGAUGAACAUCAGGAUGUUUCAUUUGUAAACUGUUAGGCAAGACAUCGUACAUUCAUCCCAUGAUUGAACAAUGGUCGUACAAUGUUUUAGCUUUUGAGAUGUAUUGGUACCAUUAUACUAUAUUGAUGAAAGAAAAUUUCUCGUA